AAUGAGAUUAGCCAUGAGUUUCUGUAUCCAACUUUGAUCGUCCGUGUUAUUUGAAUUUUAUUUAUAAUUAUUAUUUUUAUUGCUAUUAGAUUUAAAACAUGAAUAAUACUUUAUAUGUGACUUAAGUUUUUUAGCUUUUUCUAAAAAAAAAUUAAAUAAGAUGGACGAUUAAAGUUGGACAUGGAAACUCAUGGCUGCGCUUAUU
rfam:Oryza sativa Japonica Group DNA, chromosome 7, cultivar: Nipponbare, complete sequence.